rnacentral:misc_RNA from 1 species
CCACUAAUGUCUUUCGUUAUAGCUGAAACAGACGAGGGCAUUGUUUUAUAAAAGAACUUGCUAAAAUUAGAAAUUACUAAAAGAACACAUUUGUACAUCUGUCAAAUUUUCAGAAACGUUUGAAAAAGCACAAAAUGUUCAUUAAACAAUGAAUUGUUUUAUAUAUCUUUUUAAUUUUCAAGUUUUUCGUUCUGGUUGGGAGUAAACAAUACUCUAUUAAUAACUUUUCUUAUUGUGUCAUAAGAUAGCAUAUUAUUUUGUAAAAAAGUUGCCCUGGCUUGUCGAUCGCUGCUGAAAAAUUAAUGAUAUUGAAAUGGUAUUAUAGUGUGAAAUCAUCAAAUACCGUGGUUGCUCAAUUUUUGUAUAUUUUGCGGAUAUUCAUCAUGAUCAUACAAUAAAGAAAG